GGGAAGUUGGCUCAAUGGUAGAGUGCUUGCCUCAUAUGCAUGAGGCACUGGGUUCGAUUUCUCA
rnacentral:tRNA from 1 species